UGGGGGAUAUUGGACAAUGGGGGGAACCCUGAUCCAGCGACGCCGCGUGAGUGAAGAAAUAUUUCGGUAUGUAAAGCUCUAUCAGCAGGGAAGAAAAAGGGCGCAUGCCCAUUGACAGUACCUGAGUAAGAAGCCCCGGCUAACUACGUGCCAGCAGCCGCGGUAAUACGUAGGGGGCAAGCGUUAUCCGGAUUUACUGGGUGUAAAGGGAGCGUAGGCGGCCGGCCAAGUCAGGCGUGAAAGCCCGGGGCCCAACCCCGGGACUGCGCUUGAGACUGGCCGGCUAGAGUACCGGAGAGGCAGGCGGAAUUCCUAGUGUAGCGGUGAAAUGCGUAGAUAUUAGGAGGAACACCAGUGGCGAAGGCGGCCUGCUGGACGGUGACUGACGCUGAGGCUCGAAAGCGUGGGGAGCAAACAGG
rnacentral:rRNA from 1 species